rnacentral:rRNA from 1 species
AUUGAACGCUGGCGGCAGGCCUAACACAUGCAAGUCGAGCGGGGUUUUCGGACCUAGCGGCGGACGGGUGAGUAAUGCGUAGGAAGCUACCCGAUAGAGGGGGAUACCAGUUGGAAACGACUGUUAAUACCGCAUAAUGUCUACGGACCAAAGUGUGGGACCUUCGGGCCACAUGCUAUCGGAUGCGCCUACGUGGGAUUAGCUAGUUGGUGGGGUAAUGGCCCACCAAGGGGACGAUCCCUAGCUGGUUUGAGAGGAUGAUCAGCCACACUGGAACUGAGACACGGUCCAGACUCCUACGGGAGGCAGCAGUUGGGAAUAUUGGACAAUGGGCGCAAGCCUGAUCCAGCCAUGCCGCGUGUGUGAAGAAGGCCUUCGGGUUGUAAAGCACUUUCAGUAGGGAGGAAGGGUGUUGUGUUAAUAGCACAGCAUUUUGACGUUACCCCCAAAGGAAGCCACGGCUAACUACGUGCCAGCAGCCGCGGUAAAAC